rnacentral:lncRNA from 1 species
GAACUUCUAUAACAAUGACUAUAACACCUGUAACAAGAAAAUUGUGGUGGUUACAUAUUUUGUAUAUAGUAAAAUUGAAUAUAAAUAGAACAAUUAUGAAAUGUUAAAUGGACUUAUAUUGGCUAGAAGUUACUGUAUUCGUAACCAUACGUAUGUCUGCAUUACUAUCCAUGUAUCGUUCUAGUUUGUUGAAGGGUGAGUUCAUAUCUCGAGAAGAGAAAGUAUAAAUUAUCCUUGUUGAGUUCUUCAAUCUUUGUCUUCCCUGUUAUGAUCCAAAUCUUGUCUUGAAGUGAUCCUUUGAACUGAUUGCAUUUGAUAACAUGUAUGUUUUCCCUAGUUUCAGCUCAUCUACAAGUGUUGCAAUAUUUGUAUCAUAGAGUAUGGCAAUGGCUUUGUUACCCUGUUCAAAUGUGAAAAUGAGUUGAAGAUAAAUAUAUUAGCAAAACAAAUAUUAUAGUUAUGAAUAUAUAUUUACCUCUAAAUCCAUUAAAAGAAGAUUUUGGUAGUAGCUAAUGGUAUUACAAGCAAUUUUAGGUGGUUUUUUUCCCUACAACUGACUUUUGUUGUCCAAUUCUUCUCGGAUGUGGAAAUCUAUGGGAUAAGUUUAUAAAAUGCAACAAUUGUUGAUAUCCUAUGAUUGCAUUAAGAAGAAGUUAGAAGAAAAAGAGCUGUGGUUGUCAAUGUUACAUCGAAUUAGUUGUAAAAAACUUUAUUAACAUUUAUAAUUCUAAUAAAAGAAAUUUAUCCUAUAAUCUAAUGUUUCCUAUAAAAAUUUGGUACUUCUUGUUUUUGAUUAAAAGACAAUUAAAAUGAAAAAGUAGUAAUGUGAAAAAAACUUACCAACAAUGAGAUGAAGACAGAGUUUUUAAACGUUGGUAGCUGCAGUUGGAGAGUGUGAUAUCUAUGAUACUAUUGUAGAAUUUUGAUGCUGAAGGAGAAAAUGAG